UGACAAGUCGAGCGGUAGCACAGAGAGCUUGCUCUCGGGUGACGAGCGGCGGACGGGUGAGUAAUGUCUGGGAAACUGCCUGAUGGAGGGGGAUAACUACUGGAAACGGUAGCUAAUACCGCAUAAUGUCGCAAGACCAAAGUGGGGGACCUUCGGGCCUCAUGCCAUCAGAUGUGCCCAGAUGGGAUUAGCUAGUAGGUGGGGUAACGGCUCACCUAGGCGACGAUCCCUAGCUGGUCUGAGAGGAUGACCAGCCACACUGGAACUGAGACACGGUCCAGACUCCUACGGGAGGCAGCAGUGGGGAAUAUUGCACAAUGGGCGCAAGCCUGAUGCAGCCAUGCCGCGUGUGUGAAGAAGGCCUUCGGGUUGUAAAGCACUUUCAGCGGGGAGGAAGGCGUUGAGGUUAAUAACCUUGGCGAUUGACGUUACCCGCAGAAGAAGCACCGGCUAACUCCGUGCCCAGCAGCCGCGGUAAUACGGAGGGUGCAAGCGUUAAUCGGAAUUACUGGGCGUAAAGCGCACGCAGGCGGUCUGUCAAGUCGGAUGUGAAAUCCCCGGGCUCAACCUGGGAACUGCAUUCGAAACUGGCAGGCUAGAGUCUUGUAGAGGGGGGUAGAAUUCCAGGUGUAGCGGUGAAAUGCGUAGAGAUCUGGAGGAAUACCGGUGGCGAAGGCGGCCCCCUGGACAAAGACUGACGCUCAGGUGCGAAAGCGUGGGGAGCAAACAGGAUUAGAUACCCUGGUAGUCCACGCCGUAAACGAUGUCGAUUUGGAGGUUGUGCCCAGGCGUGGCUUCCGGAGCUAACGCGUUAAAUCGACCGCCUGGGGAGUACGGCCGCAAGGUUAAAACUCAAAUGAAUUGACGGGGGCCCGCACAAGCGGUGGAGCAUGUGGUUUAAUUCGAUGCAACGCGAAGAACCUUACCUGGUCUUGACAUCCACAGAACUUUCCAGAGAUGGAUUGGUGCCUUCGGGAACUGUGAGACAGGUGCUGCAUGGCUGUCGUCAGCUCGUGUUGUGAAAUGUUGGGUUAAGUCCCGCAACGAGCGCAACCCUUAUCCUUUGUUGCCAGCGGUUAGGCCGGGAACUCAAAGGAGACUGCCAGUGAUAAACUGGAGGAAGGUGGGGAUGACGUCAAGUCAUCAUGGCCCUUACGACCAGGGCUACACACGUGCUACAAUGGCAUAUACAAAGAGAAGCGACCUCGCGAGAGCAAGCGGACCUCAUAAAGUAUGUCGUAGUCCGGAUUGGAGUCUGCAACUCGACUCCAUGAAGUCGGAAUCGCUAGUAAUCGUAGAUCAGAAUGCUACGGUGAAUACGUUCCCGGGCCUUGUACACACCGCCCGUCACACCAUGGGAGUGGGUUGCAAAAGAAGUAGGUAGCUUAACCUUCGGGAGGGCGCC
rnacentral:rRNA from 1 species